UCAAAUGCCUAAAGUGUCAUUCUCUCGAUUUUUGGUGAAUUUUUAAAAAUCAAAUUUAUGCCAAAAAUGAGGAAUUUCAAGGAAAAAAGGAGAAACUCCUUUAAAUUAGUAUUAAGUUUUUAAAAAACGAGGUUCAAGCCUCGCUGAAUACGAGUAUGAAUUUAAUGUUUUUUUGAUUAUACUUUAUCUAAGAAAUUUUAACUGAAACAAAAUUUGUUUAUGAUUGAAUCACGGAUCAAAAUUAAUAAAAAAAAUUAUCUGAUCAGGAAACUGAUUCCGACGGGACGAUAGGUACAUAUGUAAUGUACUUAAACGUAGUAGCCCAUUCAUUUGGAAUGUAUUCAAUUUGAAUACAUACAACUGGUGUGCUGAUACAUUCGAUUCCUUUUUCCGGUGAGUUUUCUAGCACUUCCUGACAUGGAUCCAAAAAUUAUCAUUUCUUGCUUUAACGUAGCAUUAGCACUAGACGAACAGAAGCUUACAAAAGUACUGACCAAAACCAAUGUUCACAAAUUCCUUUUACAAUGAGAGACUUGUCUACCCAUGUACUAGAAUCUUGAAUUAGGUCCUGAAACGUUACCAAAUCCAAGAUUCCAGUAUGUGGGUCGGGUGGAGUUAAUGAGCAUAUUAGAGUACCACCCUCCUACAAAGUAAAGGAAUGGAUCUCAGAUUCGGAUUCAUACAGCAGACUUAAUCCUCAUUUGAAAGGGGACUUUCUUCGCGGAAAUUGGUCCAACAACGCGUUUACUAUUUUGAAAAACACGAUGCCAUCGAAAAUAAUGGUACCCGAAAUAUGAUCCGAACCUCUCCAAUUGUAAAUAUUCGUAAUUCAAGAUUCUUAUCAUUAAUGUGUUUCUGUAUGUUGUUUUCUUUUUUUAUAAAUGCGAGUACCUAGAUUAUGUAGAAUUAGUAUUAAUUUUUUUUAAUACAAUAAAUUGUCAAAAUUCGA